GGGCGUGGUGGAGAACAGGAAAUAGCUUUGAUCGCGGCUGGCAUCGGCGGCGGCGUGCAGUUCCGGACCAUGUGCGCCCA
rnacentral:tRNA from 1 species